GGACCCUGCAAAACCCUUAAGUCUAGAAUUUCAGCCGAGUGGCAUUGUUUGAGACUAUGUUAUAACAUCAUUUUGUUUCUGUCGAGGAAUGCACUUUUGCAAAAAUUACACCAGGAAGUUUCUGUUUUGCCAAAAUUAACCUUGCGAUCUUUGUUAGCUUUCAAGGAGACCUCAACCUGGAAAAUUUGGUGGCUAACAAGAAUACCUAGAGGCCCGUGGAAUUUUACCAAACAUUCUAGGUGCAUGACCUGAACUGGCAUACUUUUAAAAUGCAUUGUGGAAAUCCUUUCCCUGCGAAACCAGCAUGUCCAUCAGAGCUUGAGUAACCAGCUUAGCCAUCCUGUUAAUUUACACCUCAAACCAAACUCUCUAGCCUGUAGUGGCAUUCGGUCGAACACCUGCUGUGCACACGCGGAACACGCCAAGAGCGCGUUUUGCACGUGUUGUGCAGUAGACGCCGCGCCCACCUGCCCUGUUUCCAGUGUCACCCGCGCAGUGGCAACCUGCAGCUCCUCAUUGCUGACACUGCUGGCACUUGCUGCACCACCUGCAACCGUGCUAGCCGCCGAUGCCAGCAUCGGCUGCCUCGGCGAGUACAACACCGCCCGAGCCACCCCUCCUCGCCAGGUCCCCCUGCGGCCAAAGCCAGCGAGUCAGCUAGCCAAACCGCCAGCCGGGACCCUGUUUGGCCUUCCCUUGCGUCGCCACGUCUCCGUGCAGCUCCAUAGGCGGUAGGCCAGCGAUAUUAUCGCCAUCGUGUCAGACCGACCUUUAGGCCCUAUGAGUAGACGCGCCCAAGCACUUCUAGCAAUAGCAGCACUUCCUCGCGGCCAUAGCAAGCUUUCUCUUGCCCCAAUUUUGCCCGUGGCCGUCUCCUUCCCCACCGCCGGCAGUUUCGGCCUCCGCAGUUCUCGACUAAAUUCGAGCAAGCCAGAGCCCCUCCUUGCCCCUUUCCUUCUCUUUUAGAACCCCAUGACCCCGUGAACCCUUUUUCCACUCCAGUUUGGCCGGGGAGCCGAAGUAGUUCCCUUGAGCGCGUGGAUGGGCCGGGCAUUGAGGAUGGUGUCGCGUGGCAUCGACAAAUCAUCGACGGACUCGCCCUGUUCUCAGUCCACGCGCGCACGGAGGAGGGAGAUGAAACCGACAGGUGCCCCCCCACCUGUCGCUGAGCCAACCGUUGCCCCAGUGGCGCAGUUCAGCCGAUGUGUCAUCCCACUGGGUAAAUGUACUGAGGCAAGCUAUGAAGAGUGGAGCAAAAACAUCAAAAUGUUUGGAGUGCAACCUACCUCUCUAGACUUGGAAGGCAAGCAUUCUGAACCUACACAUAUCUUGGUUGUGUGUGGGUUACUUGAUGAGAAAAACAUUAUGGUUAUGUUUAAAAAGUGGUGUUAUUUUAUGUGACAAUUAUGCAUGUGGCUUCAUGAUUUGAAAGUACAAUUAUUUCACGACUGAGAUGCAUGGGACAACAGUCACAUCUUCCUACCACACAUGUCUACCGGAUAGGAUCCGAUGAGAGUGGGUGUCUUGUGGAGACACGACCUUGGGACUGACAUCUCAUGGGACGAGAGUGGUCAGCAAGGCAUGUUGGGGUAUGACAGGUAGUGACUCUGUGUGUGGUGAUAACACAUUUUGAUUGUGCUAAUCAUGCAUGGAAUAAUUUAACCUCCUGAGUCGAUCGUAGAUCGAGUCUUGUGAGUGUGUCACGUUAACCCAUUCGUGCUGCCACAGGUCUUCUUGAAAGGGAAUAUGGUUCAGUAGGUAGUAAACCUAUUAACAGGUACACACCAAGUAGAGGUACCGGGAUGAAGGUAUCCGAAGCACUGGACUAAAUCGAGUCAUCCGGUCAGGGGGCAUCGGUGUUUCUGGUCUGGGACCGAGAUGGAAGAGCUCUUCCCUUAUAACGCGAUAUAAAUUUGAUCCUAUGCUAGUCGAGGUUGGAGCCUCCCCGUCUUAAGGUUUUUCUCCCGCAGCGUAGUUCGAGUGAUACCGGUCUUCGCGGGAGAAAAAUGGGUGUGUAAAUAUUUUGAGUGUUUACUUCUAAAAUACCAUACGCGGGAUUAGUCCUAGUGACUAUCGAAAACCCGUGGGAUGUGGGUAAAGAGUACACCCUCUGUAGAGCCAAAACUACUCGAGUAGCCAUGUCAACGGUCAAGGACAUCUGGUUGACUAGUCAAGUGUCGGUCUGAGUGUCGGUCUUCGGAGGAAGUUAAGAAAUCGUGAGACUAAUCAGGAAAUGUGGUGGAUAAUCAUAAAUAUUAUUUUACUUUGGACUAACCCCUAUGAUUAUGAUUGAUGAAUAUCCUUGGGACGGUUCUACCUCCUGGAUAUUCAUUAUUUAUUAUUGUUCCAUAUAAUCCCUUUGUGUGGUGUCGCUUAGAUGUCCGACUGCGGCAUGUUUAUCAUCUCAUAUAAGCCCUUUAUGUGGUGUUGCUUAGACACCCUACUACGACAUGUUUAUCAUUUCAUAAUAGCCCUUUUAUAUGGUGUCGCUCAGACGCCCUACUGUGGCAUGCUUGUUAUUAUUUUAUUCAAGCCAUGUAUGUGGUGUCGCUGAGACGUCCGACGGAGGCAUGUUUUAUGUCACAUCCGUUAAUCUUACACUUAUUGAUUGCUUAUUAAGUACUCAAUAGGAUUAUAUUUUCAUUACUAGUACUUGAGUAGUACAUCACGGUUGACGAAGUAUUAUGGUAUUAUUACAAGUGUAUAUUAACCCUCCCAAUGUAUGCUUGUUUUCAUGAUGUUUGCGUGUACAUUCAAAGUAGUCACUGGCUUGUCCGUGGCUAUUGUCUUGGCCAGAUUGCGUGCUUGGAAAGGAGGAACCCGACGAUAACCCCGGAACCUAGGCACCAAACACAGCAGUCGCGUGAGAUAGGAAUUAUCCAGGUCAGCUGUUCCUGUGGGAAAUGGAGUCCCAUAGAUGCUGGAGAUCCCCGAAUCGCUUCCGCCAUCAACUAUUAGAAACCUUUUUGAUGUACUCUAUGGACCACAUCGGUCUUGUACUUCAAGUUUGUAUUUUUGCUUGGACAAAUGUAUCAAGGAUUAUUGCACCAACUAACAGUAUUCCUGGGGCUGGUAUGCACAAGGGCCAUUUUGAAGGGAAAUUAAAAUCCCCGAAAAUCCGGUCCUGACACAUCUCCAUAGCCAUUCCGAGAUAAUAUGCCAUGCAACUUCGAUCA